UGUAGGACCACGCCGUGGCAAGAAAGUUGGUGAGCAGAAUGUUCUGGAAAGUACAGCCAUAGAGCAUGAGAGCUGCGUAUGCGAAGCCAAGCGAAGCCUAGUGGUAUCCUGAGUAGCGCGGAGCACGAGGAAUUCUGCGUGAAUCUGCCGGGACCAUCCGGUAAGGCUAAAUACUCCCGAGAGACCGAUAGUGAACCAGUACUGUGAAGGAAAGGUGAAAAGCACUUCGAACAGAAGAGUGAAAUAGUUCCUGAAACCAUGUGCCUACAAGCGGUCGGAGCACCUUUUGGUGUGACGGCGUGCCUUUUGCAUAAUGAACCUACGAGUUACUUUUUCCGGCGAGGUUAAGGAUUUCAGAUCUGCAGCCGAAGCGAAAGCGAGUCUGAACAGGGCGUAUAGUCGGAAGGAGUAGACGCGAAACCAAGUGAUCUACCCUUGGGCAGGUUGAAGGAUGGGUAACACCAUCUGGAGGACCGAACCAAUAAGCGUUGAAAAGCUUCUGGAUGACCUGAGGGUGGGGGUGAAAGGCUAAUCAAACUUGGAGAUAGCUCGUACUCCCCGAAAUGCAUUUAGGUGCAGCCUUGACUUAUACUGGCAUGAGGUAGAGCGACUGAUAAGAUGCGAGGGCUUCACCGCCUAUCAAGUCUUGACAAACUCCGAAUGCGUGUCAGUUCUAUGUCAGGAGUGAGGGCAUGGGUGCUAAGGUCCAUGUCCUAAAGGAGAACAAUCCGGACCAACAGCUAAGGUCCCGAAAUGAAUACUAAGUUGAACUAACGAAGUCAGAUUGCUAAGACAGCUAGGAUGUUGGCUUGGAAGCAGCCAUUCAUUUAAAGAGUGCGUAACAGCUCACUAGUCGAGGAGUUUGGCGUGGAUAAUAAUCGGGCAUAAGUAUUCUACCGAAGCUUUGGGAUGAGAAAUCAUCGGUAGGGGAGCAUUCCACUCGGCGUCGAAGGUGAAGCGCGAGCUUUGCUGGAGCGUGUGGAAAAGCAAAUGUAGGUAUAAGUAACGAUAAAGGGGGUGGGAAACCCCCUCGCCGAAAGACUAAGGUUUCCUGAUCAACGCUAAUCGGAUCAGGGUAAGUCGGGUCCUAAGGCUCAGCCGAACGGCGAGGCCGAUGGCAGAACCGGUUAAUAUUCCGGUACUACCUGUGGGAGUGACGUGGAGACGGAGUCGUGACAGCGCCGCGGACUGACGGAAUAGUCCGUUGAAGGGUGUAGAUGCUGAUUGUUCCAGGCAAAUCCGGAGCAAGAGUCGAACCUGAUAGUAUGGAGCGUUCUUAGAACAAUCCAAUAGUGCGUGUAAUCAUACUUCCAAGAAAAUCCGCUAAACUUAAUCCUGCAGGUACCCGUACCGCAAACG
rnacentral:rRNA from 1 species